rnacentral:rRNA from 1 species
AUGAGCAUCCUGCGCGAUUUUGGUUACGCAACGGGCCUCUGCAUAAACUCGGUAAAAUCUUCAGUCGCACCUAUUAGAUGUGAAGAGCUUAACAUUCAGGAGGUGCUCGGGGGUUUUGGGGGAUCCACCGUGGUGUUUCCGAUGAAGUACCUAGGCCUCCCAGUGACACCAGGUCGCCUCCGACUCGUGCACCUCCAAUUCAUCAUCGAUAGGAUCAAGGCCCGGCUAGCAGCAUGGAAGGGCAAGCUGUUGCCGAUCUCGAGCAGACGUGUGCUGGUGCGUUGCAUGCUUAGUGUGAUGCUGACGAUCGCGCUGACAGUGUUGAGGGCACCAAAGAAGUUGUUCAAGGAGGUGGACAAGUGCCGGAGGCGCUUCCUCUGGCGACAAGACAAAGAGAUUACGGGAAGCAGCUACAAGAUCAACUGGCCAUCUGUGUGCUCGCCGACGGCGUGCCGUGGCCUCGGCAUCCACGACCCGCAAAGCUUCAGCCGCGCCUGCGACUCAGGUGGCUGUGGAUCACUUGGCAACACCCGGAGCGCCCAUGGGUGGGGUUGGAGACACCAUGCAGCACGGAGGACAGAGCGCUGUUCGUGGCGGCGACUACGGUGA